rnacentral:rRNA from 1 species
AGCUCCAAUAGCGUAUAUUAAAGUUGUUGCAGUUAAAAAGCUCGUAGUUGGAUUUCUGGCAGGAGCGGCCGGCCACGCGCUCUGCGCGUGAGUUUGCGCUGUCUCUGGCCAUCCUCGGGGAGAUCGCGUUUGGCAUUAAGUUGUCGGGCGUGGGAUACCCGUCGUUUACUGUGAAAAAAUUAGAGUGUUCAAAGCAGGCUUAGGCCGUUGGAUACAUUAGCAUGGAAUAAUGAGACAGGGCCACCGCGGUCUAUUUUGUUGGUUUGCACGUUGUGGCAAUGAUUAACAGGAACGGUUGGGGGUAUUCGUAUUCAACUGUCAGAGGUGAAAUUCUUGGAUUUGUGGAAGACGAACUACUGCGAAAGCAUUUACCAAGGAUGUUUUCAUUAAUCAAGAACGA